rnacentral:rRNA from 1 species
GAUGAACGCUAGCGGGAGGCCUAACACAUGCAAGCCGAGCGGUAUUUCUUCUUCGGGAGAGAGAGAGCGGCGUACGGGUGCGGAACACGUGUGCAACCUGCCUUUAUCUAGAGGAUAGCCUUUCGAAAGGAAGAUUAAUACUCUAUAAUAUAUUAAUUGGCAUCAAUUGAUAUUGAAAACUCCGGUGGAUAGAGAUGGGCACGCGCAAGAUUAGCUAGUUGGUGAGGUAACGGCUCACCAAGGCAAUGAUCUUUAGGGGGCCUGAGAGGGUGAUCCCCCACACUGGUACUGAGACACGGACCAGACUCCUACGGGAGGCAGCGGUGAGGAAUAUUGGUCAAUGGGUGCAAGCCUGAACCAGCCAUCCCGCGUGAAGGAUUAAGGUCCUAUGGAUUGUAAACUUCUUUUGUAUAGGGAUAAACCUACCCUCGUGAGGGUAGCUGAAGGUACUAUACGAAUAAGCACCGGCUAACUCCGUGCCAGCAGCCGCCGUAAAAC